rnacentral:rRNA from 1 species
UGGGGAAUAUUGCACAAUGGGCGCAAGCCUGAUGCAGCGACGCCGCGUGGGGGAUGAAGGCCUUCGGGUUGUAAACUCCUUUCGCUAUCGACGAAGCCACUUGUGGUGACGGUAGGUAGAUAAGAAGCACCGGCUAACUACGUGCCAGCAGCCGCGGUAAUACGUAGGGUGCAAGCGUUGUCCGGAAUUACUGGGCGUAAAGAGCUCGUAGGUGGUUUGUCGCGUCGUCUGUGAAAUCCCGGGGCUUAACUUCGGGCGUGCAGGCGAUACGGGCAUAACUUGAGUGCUGUAGGGGAGACUGGAAUUCCUGGUGUAGCGGUGAAAUGCGCAGAUAUCAGGAGGAACACCGAUGGCGAAGGCAGGUCUCUGGGCAGUUACUGACGCUGAGGAGCGAAAGCAU